rnacentral:sRNA from 1 species
GGUAUUCUCCUGCGGCAUUCCUCCUCCCAGCCGCCGGGGACGCGAGAACCGGCACCUCCUCCCGCCUCGUUCUCGCAAUAAUGGAAAAGGCCGGGUCCUCCCCCCGGCCUUUUUUCUUU